rnacentral:rRNA from 1 species
AACGAACGCUGGCGGCAGGCUUAUCACAUGCAAGUCGAGCGCCCCGCAAGGGGAGCGGCAGACGGGUGAGUAACGCGUGGGAAUCUACCCAUCACUACGGAACAACUCCGGGAAACUGGAGCUAAUACCGUAUACGUCCUUCGGGAGAAAGAUUUAUCGGUGAUGGAUGAGCCCGCGUUGGAUUAGCUAGUUGGUGGGGUAAUGGCCUACCAAGGCGACGAUCCAUAGCUGGUCUGAGAGGAUGAUCAGCCACACUGGGACUGAGACACGGCCCACACUCCUACGGGAGGCAGCAGUGGGGAAUAUUGGACAAUGGGCGCAAGCCUGAUCCAGCCAUGCCGCGUGAGUGAUGAAGGCCCUAGGGUUGUAAAGCUCUUUCAACGGUGAAGAUAAUGACGGUAACCGUAGAAGAAGCCCCGGCUAACUUCGUGCCAGCAGCCGCGGUAAUACGAAGGGGGCUAGCGUUGUUCGUAUUUACUGGGCGUAAAGCGCACGUAGGCGGAUUGUUAAGUUAGGGGGUGAAAUCCCAGGGCUCAACCCUGGAACUGCCUUUAAUACUGGCAAUCUCGAGUCCGGAAGAGG